CGAGAAGUUGGGUGGUACCCACAGAAGCGGGUGAGGCAAGAGAGGCUGUGAAGAGGGGAGACGACUCUGUCCUGCCGAGACGGCCCCGUGCUCACCUGCUCUCUGCAUCUUGGUCUCGCCCUGUGUUUAUUGCUUCCGCACCCUCACUUUCACGUCACUGAGUGAGCCAUAAACUUCUUGGGAGGUGCUGAACCAUCCCUGUACUGAGCAGCUGGAGGUCUGGGUUCCCACUAGGAGCCACCACAGAGAUGUGACCUUCAAAUUCAGUGUUUUGUGAACUGCCUACAGCUGAGACGGAAUUGAGGCAUCAGCUCCCAUGAACAAUGCCAGAAACACAUUCUCUUGCAGUUUUCCAUCUCACGUUUACCAGGUGUCUCCAGAAUUAAAGAGAAGCGAAAAGGAACUUCAACUAUAUUAGUAUCAUGGUUAACCAUGCCAGAAAUUAUGGCAAGAGGGUGAGAUAACUUUGAGAUUUUAAAUGUGUACAUGGUAUUAUUUUAUUAGGUAAGAUAGCAGAAGUGAAGAAAAAUUUUGGCAUCUUUUCAAAAUGCAUGCUCAAGUAAAUAUUUGG
ensembl:lncRNA